rnacentral:tRNA from 1 species
GCCGUUGUAGCUCAGGGGUAGAGCACUUCCUUGGUAAGGAAGAGGCCAAGGGUUCAAAUCCCUUCAAUGGCU